rnacentral:lncRNA from 1 species
UUCGUGUUCGGCUCGAUAACAGCUCGAAUACAUAUAUUUUAUAUUUAUACAAUUUAUUUAAUUUAUAUUUAUAUAUAUAAAUAAAUAAUUAUAUAUAAUAUAUAAUUUUUAUUAUUUAAUUUUAGCAAAAUAAAAAUAUAAAUGCGAGCUUAAUUAUAAAAAGACUUAUUUAUAUGUAAAGUUUCAACUAUUAGAUUAAAGUCUAAUGAAUAAGAUUUUAUAAAUUUAUUUUUUAUAUAUAUUCAAUCUAAUUUUUUUUAACUUAUUGUUCGUUGGCAAGCUCGUGAGCCAACUCGU